UCAUAUAUAUGACGAUGCAGAGGCCCAGGUGUCAUGCCCGUCGGAGCCUGAAUCCAAGGAGGAAGUUGAACAGCUGACAGGGAAUGGGAGUGUGGCUACGUUGGCUGUGGAGGAAACUGGGGAAGGGCAAAGUCUGGUUGGGCAGAGCAGGGAAGAGGUAAAACAAGG